UUUUUUUAUUUCCUUUCUUCAAUUUCUUUCCUCCUAGAUAUAUGUUGGAACUAGUAAAUAUUCAAAAAAUGGAAAAAAUAAUAACUAGUUAAAAUGUUUUAGGAGCCAACUGUAGGCUACUGUUGUUUUAAGCCACCAUCUGCUCCUGCUCAAUGUACAAUUGCUCCACCCAUGCUGGAAGCAUUUCUGAACCUCCAGUAUUAAGAUGGCAUUGUUGCUGCUGUUCCUC
rnacentral:misc_RNA from 1 species